rnacentral:rRNA from 1 species
GAUGAACGCUGGCGGCGUGCCUAAUACAUGCAAGUCGAGCGAACGGACGAGAAGCUUGCUUCUCUGAUGUUAGCGGCGGACGGGUGAGUAACACGUGGAUAACCUACCUAUAAGACUGGGAUAACUUCGGGAAACCGGAGCUAAUACCGGAUAAUAUUUUGAACCGCAUGGUUCAAAAGUGAAAGACGGUCUUGCUGUCUCUUAUAGAUGGAUCCGCGCUGCAUUAGCUAGUUGGUAAGGUAACGGCUUACCAAGGCAACGAUGCAUAGCCGACCUGAGAGGGUGAUCGGCCACCCUGGAACUGAGACACGGUCCAGACUCCUACGGGAGGCAGCAGUAGGGAAUCUUCCGCAAUGGGCGAAAGCCUGACGGAGCAACGCCGAGUGAGUGAUGAAGGUCUUCGGAUCGUAAAACUCUGUUAUUAGGGAAGAACAUAUGUGUAAGUAACUGUGCACAUCUUGACGGUACCUAAUCAGAAAGCCACGGCUAACUACGUG